ACCCGGUUGGCUCAGUGGGUAGAGCAUGUGACUCUUGAUCUCGGGAUUGUGAGUUUGAACCCCAUGUUGGGAG
rnacentral:tRNA from 1 species